rfam:Mesorhizobium sp. LNHC252B00 scaffold0005, whole genome shotgun sequence.
CCGUGGGCCACCCCUCCCCAACGAGGGGCCACUAUCUGGAAGGAUAGACCAC